rnacentral:ncRNA from 1 species
GUAGCUUUAAGAAGCUGAAAAGGAAGAUGGUGAAAUUCCAUCACGGACCCGCCGCUGUGACCGUGGACUGGCAGUGCAAUAGCCACUUGGAUUUUUAAAGUUCAGGGAAGGCGCAUUUGCCGGGUUGAUACGGGAGUCAGAAUACAUGCCAGCAG